rnacentral:rRNA from 1 species
GACGAACGCUGGCGGCGUGCUUAACACAUGCAAGUCGAACGAAGAGCGAUGGAAGCUUGCUUCUAUCAAUCUUAGUGGCGAACGGGUGAGUAACGCGUAAUCAACCUGCCCUUCAGAGGGGGACAACAGUUGGAAACGACUGCUAAUACCGCAUACGAUCUGACCUCGGCAUCGAGGAUGGAUGAAAGGUGGCCUCUAUUUAUAAGCUAUCACUGAAGGAGGGGAUUGCGUCUGAUUAGCUAGUUGGAGGGGUAACGGCCCACCAAGGCGAUGAUCAGUAGCCGGUCUGAGAGGAUGAACGGCCACAUUGGGACUGAGACACGGCCCAGACUCCUACGGGAGGCAGCAGUGGGGAAUCUUCCGCAAUGGACGAAAGUCUGACGGAGCAACGCCGCGUGAGUGAUGACGGCCUUCGGGUUGUAAAGCUCUGUUAAUCGGGACGAAAGGCCUUCUUGCGAAUAGUUAGAAGGAUGACGGUACC